rnacentral:rRNA from 1 species
AUACAACUUUCAACAAUGGAUCUCUUGGCUCUCGCAUCGAUGAAGAACGCAGCGAAAUGCGAUAAGUAAUGUGAAUUGCAGAAUUCAGUGAAUCAUCGAAUGUUUGAACGCAUCUUGCGCUCCUUGGUCCUCUGAGGAGCAUGCCUGUUUGAGUGUCA